GCCUGGUGGCAGAAUACCACCACAACUGCGGAAGCAGCUGGAGGCACCGAGGUACUGCAACCCCUCACCUGGAACUCUUGGCUCCUGUGAAGACAUAAGUUUCAUCUAAUCUGGCGGCACUUCAGCCACUGUGCUGGAACAAGUCAAGCAAUCCCAUUUCGGUGAAUCUAGCCUGAAGAAUUUAAGAACAGUACAUUAAGAAAUUUCAAAAAUACAUUUACAACC